GUCUCUUGUGUUACUGCUCCUUAAGGUCACUCCUUAACUUUGCAUGCCUGUACCCUCCUGGUUUGUAUUCCCUCCCAACGGGCAGUAGGGGUUUUAAAGAAAAGUGCCUGGCAUUGGGAGAGUUGUCCCUUUGCCACACGUGGCAGGGCUUGGAGAUCUCAAGAUCACACCUGAGAUCUGUCAAAUAAAUGUAAAUGGAUUUAACACCUGGAUUCGGAAGGAUCUAAGUAGGAUGUGGGUAGAAAAACUCUGUACUAAAACCUGAACACACAGCUACCAUUCUCAGGCAUCCUAUCUCUCCUAGGUACACAGGUCAAUAUCCUGAGGAGCCCUGUCUGUAUCAAAGCUUUCUCUGGUUGCUGUGCUUAGAUGUGGACUGAAAAGGGCCCAGCAUAUCAGUUCCCUAUAAGGGAAAUUCUGUCCCUGUCUGCCAGUUUGACUGUAGCAAUAGGGGCACAGGGUCCAUAGGGAGACUUCCGUCACGUGUGAAACAGAGCAUGGCAGAGAAAGGCAGACAUAAAGGGAAAAAAAGUGGGAGGACAAGUAGAUGAAAGACAACGUGUGUUUGGGAGUAGCAGGAAAAGGGAAACCUUGACACAGUUGAUUAUUGUGCUCAUUUAAAAAAAAAAAAAAGGGGGGAAAGCUCAGAAGUUUUGGGGUUUUCAUUCCAUGCCAAAUAAACAGAGUAGGUUGCUUCAUUGUCCGCUGCCUCAAUUUUGUUUUUUGCAGCAUAGAUUCCUGGAUUUGCUUAAAGGAAUACAGCAUUUAUGUGAGAAUGCACUUUACCACAGUAUAUAUAUUUGCAAAGAUUGCAAGGCUUGCAGGUGUGUAUCCUCCAGGACAUGCUCUGAAGAGUUCAGCAGAAGAGGAGAGGAGCUGGAACCAGCCACUGGAGAAGCCCUGUAGUCCACACCCAUGCAGCCCUCAACCUGUCCUUCCCUGCAUAAUCUCUGGGGGGUCUCCCAGGCAGGAAAACUUCCCCAAGAAGCAGCACAGUGAAAGCCCUACCCAGCCACCAGCACAGUUGUACUCAUGCUUGCUGCUGCUUUCUGAUUCAAUUAAUGCUUUCAUUCAUUUAUGUGCAUGGAUUAUUUCAUCAUAGCGUAUCAGCUAAUGCAGUUGAGAUUCCUGUUCCACAUCAUUGUGUUUACUGUCAGCAGAGAGGAAAGGGAUGCUUCAAAUUCCCGCAAGUCAAGAGACUGGGGAAAUCAGCUCUGGAUCAUGUCUCUUUUGAGUUGGUGCUCAAAACCUCUGGGACAUUACAUAAAUAGGCGAUGCCUCUUCCUAUUGCAUUUUCUAAGUUCCUAGCAGCAGGCUGGAGUUGGGCAUCCUGACUAGAAAAUGGCACCUCUGUCAUUCAGAAAAGGACAACUCAUUGUCUAAGAAGGGCUUAACCUUUACCCUCCCUUUGGCACCUCCAGCAGCUGCAGAGGCAAUUUUCUAUUUGCUUUUAUGAAUCAUAUCCUGAGGUACCUUGCUUUCCCUGUCUGUUGCAUAGGAAGUUUGAAUGCUUAACUUUUCUUUUUAUAUUACAUAGGGUGAAGAAGUGCCUGAAGUCAUAAUGUGCAGCUCUCAGUAUCACAAUAGCUAAAUCCUUCUGUGGGCCAAGAUCUUUUUCCCUAACUGGGUGGGAGCUGGACUCCUAUCUUCUGUGUGGACCCAUGCAAAAUUACUGCAGAGGUGUCCCACAUGGGUUGGGCUGCAUUGUCUGCUCUCUCAGCCCACCAAAUGGCGAGUUGCACCAACUGAGUACCUGGCAUGUCGCUUUGUAUCCAAGGAAACAUAUUCCAGUGAGACCUGGCAGUACCAGGAGCAGGGUGCUGUACCCUGAUGUUCUCCUUCUUGCAGUGCCCCUGUACUGACUGAGCACACUGCAACCUCAGUGGGCUGAGAGGCAGUUCAGACACUAACCUCCCACUCAGACAUCAUCCUGUUCUUCAUUUGUGGAAGUGAGCUUGGGCCUGUCAUAGUCUGGGAAUCUGCUUCAGUGACAGUUGUGGAUGCAGCUGUGAACUCCUGUUGCUGUCUGGCAUUUAUCCCAGGGCAUUCAGGAGACCAUGGACUUCACAUAGGCAAGUACUGUUUUCUGGAAACUUUCCUGAAACUUGUUACAGCAUAUAUCCAGGGAUAGGUGGCUAUGACAGAAAGGAUUAGGAAAAUGCAGAACUGGGAAAGUCCUUCAGGUAAUAUGGCUAGAGCUGCUUUCCUAUGUGAAACUAGUUAUAAGCCCACAUUCAUACAACAUAAUCUGAGUUAAUAAUAGUAGCUCUAAGACAAAAAUACAUGUUGUCAAAGAGCACAUACAUGCUGAGAAGAGCAGUUAUAGACUGAAAUGGGCUUUCUCUCCUGGGAAUUCCAACUAGUCUGCAGUGACCUAGACACUUUCUGUUUGCUCUUACAGAAUAAAACCAGGAGAAAAAUAAUUCACUUAAAUUAUAUAUCUUUAUAAUCCUUAUUCAACCUCAUCCUUUUUUUUAUUUUUUUUCCAUACAAAAAGCAGCAGGGACUCUGUCCAAAUGGAUACCUGUUUGCCAUGGAGUGAUAGUUUUACCUCAUGAUGAACUAUGUGCCAGUUACUAUAAAGAUCUACACUGGUAGGAUGGAUUAAAAAUAAAUGGCCCAUUUAGUGUGUUGUACAAAUUUCUCCCAAAAUAAUAUCAGUGGUCUUGCCUGAUGUGCAAAUAGGGCCAUUGUCCUAAAUGGGUUGCUUGCUAAACCCCACUUCCUUACAGGUGCUGCCAGGAAAAUAUAAACAACAAAUGGAUGAGACUUCAGACUGACAGCUAGAGACAAAGGCUGCUGUCAGAGGCACAAGGGGGAGGACAAACAAAGCUGAAAUGUGCCUUGCUCCACAUUCUGUGUCUUCGCAUGCGAGGAGUCCUUGAGAUCCCUUCUGCACCAGGGCAGCAUGUGCAACAGCACAUCAGCAGCUGCUGUAUUUUGAAAUCACUAUGGAGGGAUGCUGUGCUAUUGCUCCAGCCCCUCUGAAGGGGUCAAGAGUCUGGUGUUGCUUUCUCUUAUCUUCUUGCUUUUUCUUGUUUCUGGUUUAUUCAGUCAGCAUAGGGUCAAUCAAGUAGUAACGUGGGAAGUGGUUUAACUCAGGUGGAACAUACACCUGAGCUCUAAUUCAUGUUCCUAUGUAAACAUGGUUGUCUCGCAGCCACAGGCCAGGAUUAGAGGUGCUACAUCACAGACAUUUUAUUCUCUCUAUUGUAUUUGCUUUGCCUCCCAUUGAGCUGUUGUCAGGAGCUACCAAUGAGCUGCAUUAAUUGUUCUUUCUUAUGUGUGUUUGUAUGAAAGCUGUGUUUUAAAGUAUGUCACCUAAAAUGUGUUUGUAUAAAAUGUGUUUAUAAACUUGUUUAUAAACUUUACUUAUGAAAAGGGUUAUAGACUGAAGUAUAAAAGACUGGUUGGCAGUCUUGGGUAGUUGACAGAACUUCAUUUACGAUAGAUAAAUGCAUUGUUGUUACUCAAACUAAGCAGCAUUCAAGCUAUUCAUGGAAUGGCAUUCAUCUUUAAUAAAUAUUUUACAUAAUACAUGCAA